rnacentral:rRNA from 1 species
AGAGUUUGAUCCUGGCUCAGGAUGAACGCCCGUGGUGUGCCUAAUACAUGCAAGUCGUACGCACUGGCCCAACUGAUUGAUGGUGCUUGCACCUGAUUGACGUUGGAUCACCAGUGAGUGGCGGACGGGUGAGUAACACGUAGGUAACCUGCCCCGGAGCGGGGGACAACAGCCGGAAACGGCUGCUAAUACCGCAUAAGCCUGCGGGGCCGCAUGGCCCGGCAGGAAAAGCUGCGGCGGUACAGGAUGGGCCCGCGUCUGAUUAGCCAGUUGGCGGGGUAACGGCCCACCAAAGCAACGAUCAGUAGCCGGCUUGAGAGAGCGAACGGCCACAUUGGGACUGAGACACGGCCCAAACUCCUACGGGAGGCAGCAGUAGGGAAUCUUCCACAAUGGACGAAAGUCUGAUGGAGCAACGCCGCGUGAGUGAAGAAGGGUUUCGGCUCGUAAAGCUCUGUUGGUAGUGAAGAAAGAUAGAGGUAGUAACUGGCCUUUAUUUGACGGUAAUUACUUAGAAAGUCACGGCUAACUACGUGCCAGCAGCCGCGGUAAUACGUAGGUGGCAAGCGUUGUCCGGAUUUAUUGGGCGUAAAGCGAGUGCAGGCGGUUCAAUAAGUCUGAUGUGAAAGCCUUCGGCUCAACCGGAGAAUUGCAUCAGAAACUGUUGAACUUGAGUGCAGAAGAGGAGAGUGGAACUCCAUGUGUAGCGGUGGAAUGCGUAGAUAUAUGGAAGAACACCAGUGGCGAAGGCGGCUCUCUGGUCUGCAACUGACGCUGAGGCUCGAAAGCAUGGGUAGCGAACAGGAUUAGAUACCCUGGUAGUCCAUGCCGUAAACGAUGAGUGCUAAGUGUUGGGAGGUUUCCGCCUCUCAGUGCUGCAGCUAACGCAUUAAGCACUCCGCCUGGGGAGUACGACCGCAAGGUUGAAACUCAAAGGAAUUGACGGGGGCCCGCACAAGCGGUGGAGCAUGUGGUUUAAUUCGAAGCAACGCGAAGAACCUUACCAGGUCUUGACAUCCAGUGCAAACCUAAGAGAUUAGGUGUUCCCUUCGGGGACGCUGAGACAGGUGGUGCAUGGCUGUCGUCAGCUCGUGUCGUGAGAUGUUGGGUUAAGUCCCGCAACGAGCGCAACCCUUGUCAUUAGUUGCCAUCAUUAAGUUGGGCACUCUAAUGAGACUGCCGGUGACAAACCGGAGGAAGGUGGGGAUGACGUCAAGUCAUCAUGCCCCUUAUGACCUGGGCUACACACGUGCUACAAUGGACGGUACAACGAGAAGCGAACCUGCGAAGGCAAGCGGAUCUCUUAAAGCUGUUCUCAGUUCGGACUGUAGGCUGCAACUCGCCUACACGAAGCUGGAAUCGCUAGUAAUCGCGGAUCAGCACGCCGCGGUGAAUACGUUCCCGGGCCUUGUACUCACCGCCCGUCA